rnacentral:misc_RNA from 1 species
UUUCUAACGGUUUUUAACUGUGUAAAAUUUUUGAUAUUAUUAUAUUUAUUAUUAUUAUAUUAUAUAUUUAAUUUUUGCCUUUCUAAUAGGCAUUGAUAUUCUGAUAGUGUAACCCUGUAAUUGCACACGAACGACUACUUUAGUUCUAUAACAAUUUUGGAACAUAUAUACGUACAGACAUAUAUCAAUCGUAGAGUCCUUUCUUUCAUCAUUUCUAUUAGGUCAUCCCAUAAGUUCGUGCCGACUUUUGUGUAUACAUUUCAUGUGUCGAUUUAUAAACAUACGGCGAUAAGGGACCGAUGCACUUGAAAAAUGGGAAGAAGUUGUACAGCGAGAGGGGGAUUACAUUUUUUCAUGAAACUGAAAGGUAUGUAAACAAUCUUAACAUAUAUAACC